AAUAUAUCAUUCAUGAACAUAAAAUUUUACAUAAUUAUAAAAGCCUAUCCUUUGCAAAAUGAAGUAUAAGAGGAUCAAGCAAACAAGAAAUAUAAAUUUGCAAAACAUGAUUCCUAUGGGUUCAAUCGAGAGAGGGCGCAUGAUCUGAGGUAGAUGGAAGAUGGGAAUCUAAUGUAUGUCAUUAUUAUAUGCAAAGACUUUGGAAUUAGUUCAGAGGGUUAGCUGUCGAGGAAAAUUCAGUAUUUUGAUACUUACAAUGAAAAAUCCUUGAGACGAAUGGGCUAUACUAAGGCAGAUGAUCAUUGGAUAAAAAAGGGAGAAGGG
rnacentral:lncRNA from 1 species